AACCACACUAUCGAUGAAUAGAUUCACCUGCGAGAUGACGUGGUUGUUUCACCUAGGACGAGGACAUGACAUCCUAUUACCAGCCAUCGCACGAAAUUAAUAGUAUGCCACGUCGAUGGAACAACCAUGUCAUCUCACCGGUGAAUCCAUUCAUCGAUAGUGUGGUU
rfam:Oryza glumipatula chromosome 4, whole genome shotgun sequence.